CAGUCGCCGCGGUAACACGUAGGUGGCGAGCGUUGUCCGGAAUUAUUGGGCGUAAAGGGAGCGCAGGCGGACAUAUAAGUCCAUCUUAAAAGUGCGGGGCUCAGCCCCGUGAGGGGAUGGAAACUGUAUGCCUUGAGUGCAGGAGAGGAAAGCGGAAUUCCCAGUGUAGCGGUGAAAUGCGUAGUUAUUGGGAGGAACACCAGUGGCGAAGGCGGCUUUCUGGACUGCAACUGACGCUGAGGCUCGAAAGCCAGGGGAGCGAACGGGAUUAGAUACCCCCGUAGUCCCUGUCUCUUAUACA
rnacentral:rRNA from 1 species